UACGUAGGGGGGCUAGCGUUGUCCGGAUUUAUUGGGCGUAAAGAGCGUGUAGGCGGCCAUGUAGGUCCGGUGUGAAAACUCGAGGCUUAACCUCGAGAUGUCAUCGGAAACCAUUUGGCUAGAGUCCGGAAGAGGAGAGUGGAAUUCCUGGUGUAGCGGCGAAAUGCGCAGAUAUCAGGAAGAACACCAAUGGCGAAAGCAGCUCUCUGGGACGGUACUGACGCUGAGACGCGAAAGCGUGGGGAGCGAACAGGG
rnacentral:rRNA from 1 species